rnacentral:rRNA from 1 species
UACGAGGGUGGCAAGCGUUGCUCGGAAUUACUGGGCGUAAAGGGCGCGUAGGCGGCUUGGCAAGUCAGAUGUGAAAUCCCCGAGCUUAACUUGGGAAUUGCAUCUGAAACUGCUUUGCUUGAGUCCUGGAUGGGGUAGUGGAAUUCCCAGUGUAGCAGUGAAAUGCGUAGAUAUUGGGAGGAACACCGGUGGCGAAGGCGGCUACCUGGACAGUGACUGACGCUGAGGCGCGAAAGCUAGGGGAGCGAAC